rnacentral:lncRNA from 1 species
GGGCGGGGCCUGCCGCCGCCACCGCCUCAGGGAAGAGGAAGGAGGCCGCGGCUUCGCGUCCCGCCUCUCGCCUGGCUGGCCGUGGGGGGCCUGGACGCAGUGGCCUCCCGAAUCUCCCAGGACCCUAAUAUCGCCCGAGGAUGCUGGGAGGAACGCUGAGCCGACCUCUCCGUUAGGCUGAAGAUUGCACAAACCAUGCUAAUGGCCAGCAUGGAUGGAGGGAGCGUGUGAGAUGUGUGGGGCAGCGUGCUGCAUCUCAGCCAACUCCAGGAGGAAGCAUGCUCAUGGCAAUACCCGGAGUCUCCACUGCAAGACCAGAGUGACGGAGGCAGCAGAGCUCCUCAGCAGGCCAGGAGUCUCCAGAGGCACUGCCGAAUGUCUAAGAAGCAACCUCAUUGUAUUCCCAAGACCUGGGAAUCCAGGUCUCGCAGAUACGAUGAUACAAUCUAUAGCCAGGACAUCUCUUCAUGUGUAGGAUAAGCAACUAUCCCAGUCUUCCCAGGAUUGAGGGGCUUCUCCAGAUGCUGCACUUCUGGUGCUAAAAAUGAGAAACUGAAAUGAAUUAGUCACCCAAGGAAUGCUGACCCUGUGCUA